rnacentral:rRNA from 1 species
UACAGAGGGUGCAAGCGUUGUUCGGAAUUAUUGGGCGUAAAGCGCGUGUAGGCGGCUUUGCAAGUCGGGUGUGAAAGCCCUUAGCUCAACUGAGGAAGUGCGCCCGAAACUGCAGAGCUUGAGUACCGGAGAGGAUGGUGGAAUUCCCCAAGUAGAGGUGAAAUUCGUAGAUAUGGGGGAGGAACACCGGUGGCGAAGGCGACCAUCUGGACGGAUACUGACGCUGAGACGCGAAAGCGUGGGUAGCAAACAGG